rnacentral:rRNA from 1 species
GCAGCAGGCGCGCAAAUUACCCACUCCCGGCACGGGGAGGUAGUGACGAAAAAUAACGAUACGGGACUCAUCCGAGGCCCCGUAAUCGGAAUGAGCACACUUUAAACCCUUUAACGAGUAUCCAUUGGAGGGCAAGUCUGGUGCCAGCAGCCGCGGUAAUUCCAGCUCCAAUAGCGUAUAUUAAAGUUGUUGCGGUUAAAAAGCUCGUAGUUGGAUUUGUGUCCCACGCUGUCGGUUCACCGUUCGUCGGUGUUUAACUGGCAUGCCCGUGCGGACGUCCUGCCGGUGGAUGCGGUCGACCGUGGGCCUCUGGUCUGCGCGUCGGCGGUCCGAUGCAAUCCUACCGCGGUGCUCUUUACCGAGUGUCGAGGUGGGCCGGCACGUUUACUUUGAACAAAUUAGAGUGCUCAAAGCAGGCAGUGGUUCGCCUGAAUAUUGUGUGCAUGGAAUAAUGGAAUAGGACCUCGGUUCUAUUUUGUUGGUUUUCGGAACUUGAGGUAAUGAUUAAUAGGGACAGACGGGGGCAUUCGUAUUGCGACGUUAGAGGUGAAAUUCUUGGAUCGUCGCAAGACGAACCUAAGCGAAAGCAUUUGCCAUGGGUGUUUUCAUUAGUCAAGAACGAAAGUUAGAGGUUCGAAGGCGAUCAGAUACCGCCCUAGUUCUAACCAUAAACGAUGCCAGCUAGCGAUCCGCCGAAGUUCCUCCGAUGACUCGGCGGGCAGCUUCCGGGAAACCAAAGCUUUUGGGUUCCGGGGGAAGUAUGGUUGCAAAGCUGAAACUUAAAGGAAUUGACGGAAGGGCACCACCAGGAGUGGAGCCUGCGGCUUAAUUUGACUCAACACGGGAAACCUCACCAGGCCCGGACACCGGAAGGAUUGACAGAUUGAGAGCUCUUUCUUGAUUCGGUGGGUGGUGGUGCA